GGGAUUGCCUUAGUAACGGCGAGUGAAGCGGCAACAGCUCAAAUUUGAAAUCUGGCUCCUUCGGGGUCCGAAUUGUAAUUUGUAGAGAGUGCUUCGGGCGAGGCCUCGGUCUAAGUCCAUUGGAACAUGGUGUCAUAGAGGGUGAGAAUCCCGUAUGCGACCGUGGCUCGAGCCCAUGUGAAGCCUCUUCGACGAGUCGAGUUGUUUGGGAAUGCAGCUCAAAAUGGGUGGUAAAUUUCAUCUAAAGCUAAAUACUGGUUGGAGACCGAUAGCGCACAAGUAGAGUGAUCGAAAGAUGAAAAGCACUUUGGAAAGAGAGUCAAACAGUACGUGAAAUUGUUGAAAGGGAAGCGCUUGCAACCAGACCUGCCCGUAGGCGAUCAGCCGCUGUUUUCAGCGGUGCACUCGCUCUGCGAUCAGGCCAGCAUCGGUUUCGGCGGUCGGAUAAAGGCCUUGGGAAUGUAGCUCCCCUCCGGGGGAGUCUUAUAGCCCUUGGUGCAGUGCGGCCAGCCGGGACCGAGGACCGCGCUUCGGCUAGGAUGCUGGCGUAAUGGUUGUAAGCGACCCGUCUUGAAACACGGACCAAGGAGUCUAACAUCUAUGCGAGUGUUUGGGUGUCAAACCCAUGCGCGGAAUGAAAGUGAACGGAGGUGAGAACCCUUUAAGGGCGCAUCAUCGACCGAUCCAGAUGUCUUCGGAUGGAUUUGAGUAUGAGCAUAGCUGUUGGGACCCGAAAGGUAAUUUGAACUCCCCUCUUGUUUAUAAGAAUCAUAUGCUAACUUUUCCAAAAGAUGGUGAACUAUGCCUGAAUAGGGUGAAGCCAGAGGAAACUCUGGUGGAGGCUCGCAGCGGUUCUGACGUGCAAAUCGAUCGUCAAAUUUGGGUAUAGGGGCGAAAGACUAAUCGAACCA
rnacentral:rRNA from 1 species